GCCCAUACACUACAUAAUGGUGAAGAUACGUAUGGUCCAACCUGAAGGCUGUGCCUGUGGCUCAGUGAUAGAAUGUUCCUUUAGCUCUGAAAACCCAGAUCCAAUCCCCUGCAUCAAAACUAGAGCAGGAAAAAGGCAGAGUACCUAGAAGCCGUCUUAGAAAUACUGACUAGGACUAAAAUAUAAAUUUUCUAUUCAAAGAAGCAGAGUUGCCAUUCUUGGAACAUAAUAAGUUUUAUAUUCCCCUUGUGUUCCUGGAUUUUUUGCUCCUGGAAUCUCCACAAUUAAUAAGGGAUGUGAAUGUUCAAAGGAGAUGCUUUAGGCGAAUAUUGUAAGGGAAUAAAAAGGAUCACUUUAUCAAAUACUUUGAUGUUAUAGUACAUUGUCCAAAUUUAACAAUGCAUAUAUACUGACAUUUCCAAAGAAAAAAAUACAGUUUACCUUGAACUACUUUUAAAAUUAUCAACAUACAUAGUAUUUUUUCCAGAUUUCCAAAUUAUCCCAUUUCCAGUAAAAGUGUGGACAAGAUGUUCUGAACAAGAAAAAUGGCGUUAGAAACUCGAUUUAGCAUUCAUAAUUCAUUAUAUAAACUCAUUUGUAGAAGGGAAGAUAAAAUAGUUAAGUGAAUAAAAUAAUGUUCAAGUUCAAUUCUUUUUUAAAAAACAAUAUUAUUGUUUUUCUUCUUUACAGAUAGUUCUUCUAUAUAGCUCAGAUCCACUUGCCUCAGUCUCCCAAGUGCUGGAUAUGUGGCACCAUGCCCAGCUCCUUAAUUUUUAGCAUGGGGGUCAAGACCAGGUCUCACUCUGGGAGGCCUUGUGGACCUCAAACUCAGUAUGUAGACUCAGCUAGAUGUAAACUCAAGAGAUCUGCCUGCCUCUGCCUCUGUGUGCUGGGAUUCAAGGUUUUAACUUACUGCUUGAACAUGCAUGGAAAGGACAUUUUAUAAGUGUUAUAUAUUUUAUAAUAUGUAUACCUGUUCUAUGCUAUAAAUUGCAAAGUGUAUCUAACUACCCAAUGAAGCUGACUUUUUGACAUUGUAAGGCUCUUAUUCUUAAACCAUAGUAACCUUAUGUGUACAAAAAGCAAAAUGGUUUAGUGUAAAGAAUAUUAAGCAAGAAAACAGAGAACAUAGCUCUAAGCUUACCUUUGCUCAUUUUUUUUUCUGGUUUAUAAAAUGAGCCUACCAGACUCAUUUAUUGAAUUCUAUGGAGCUAUUCUGAAAAUCAAGCAAAUGGUGUUAAAACUAUUUGGGUGCAGAAAGCAUAAUACAAGUGUUUUGCUGGUUCUGGACAUGUCCUUAUAUUUACAAUGAAGACAGAUUUUCUUGAGUUCUUUCUUGUUAUUUCUGUGUGGAGAUACCAGAAGACAGUGUGUGUUUUCACGGACCAGGGGAGCUCUUGGCUGGUGUUUGUCCUCUGUCCUUCUACCUUGAACUGCUGCUGAAUCACUGCUUCUCUAAAGCAUAAACAAUAGAGAAGAAAACCCUUGGGAAACUAAUUCAACCAAAAAGUUGUAUCUGGAAAUAUUUUGUGCAACGUUGAAGUAGGUAUUUAAUUGUAUUUUAAAAUAUAAACACUUGUACAUUUUCUAGAUUUGUGUAUUUUUAAUAGUACCCAUGAAGAAAAGAACAUAAAUUAUGUCACUAUG
rnacentral:lncRNA from 1 species